UUUGCGGUUGCUAAAGACAUUUCAGCCUGUCUUUUCAGUGUGUCCCUGUUGGAUGCUGCUUUGGAUCUGUUUAUUGCCCUCCCUGCAGGUAUGAGGAAGUUGUUUAGCAAUGUUUAGCUUUAACGCGUGUCAGGUGGCGUGAGUAAUGUGCAGUCCUUGAACUUCAGUUUAACAGCAGGUUAUUUGAAGGCUGCGUAUCCUGAGCGGUGAAUUGAUUCUCAGGAACUUAUCUAUCCGCGUUUGGAUCCUCCUUCUUUCCUUCCC